rnacentral:rRNA from 1 species
GGGGAUAACGUUUGGAAACGGACGCUAAGACCCCGUAAGCCGGGAGGUGAAAGUGGCGGAAGCCAGCCUGUGGAGUGACUCGCGUCCUAUCAGCUAGUUGGCGGGGUGAAGGCCCACCAAGGCGAUGACGGGUAGCCGACCUGAGAGGGUGGCCGGCCACACUGGAACUGAGAUACGGUCCAGACUCCUACGGGAGGCAGCAGUGGGGAAUAUUGGGCAAUGGGCGGAAGCCUGACCCAGCGACGCCGCGUGGGGGAAGAAGUCUUUCGGGAUGUAAACCCUUGUUGUACGGGACGAAGGAAGUGACGGUACCGUACGAGGAAGCCCCGGCAAACUACGUGCCAGCAGCCGCGGUAAUACGUAGGGGGCGAGCGUUGUCCGGAAUCACUGGGCGUAAAGCGCACGUA